rnacentral:lncRNA from 1 species
UUUUAUCCUCCCCAGGGUGCUGGUCACCGCCCCAGGCAAGAUGCUUUCUUCAGUGACCUGGAAGCGACCUGGACUGGACCGUUGGGACCGAGCCCCUUCCUCACCUGUCAAGCCUCACUCCAGACAGAUCCUGGGAGGCAGAUGUGGGCCUCCAGUGGAGGGGAGGUAUCCAGCAAUAUUGUUUAGCAUCUACUGGCAUUCAACCCAUAGAAGACAUAAGAGAAGAAUUGCCCUUCAGUUCUUAAACAACAUUGAUCAAGCAAUUACUGUACAGAAGGCGCCAGACAAGAACAUUCUUGCUUCCUAUCCUGAAGGACAGGUAAGAUAUACACAUACAACACGAAGUUCACGAUCAGUAAGAGAGACAUAGCAAUGCAGAACAAGGAUACAGCACCAGAUUCAUUGCCAAAUGAAGGACAGGAACAGUUUUCAUACAGAAGUGUUGCACGGAAUAGCUAAUGUUGCAAGACUUACUCCUGACCAGAGAUGCCAGCAAAAGACAUUGCCAGCAUCAGAGGCACUCUGAAGAACCGGGUCAGGAGUUCAGAGGAGAGAUUUUGCUAGAAUUGUUGGAGAUGGCUUUUGGAAGAUGUGUGUGUAUGUGAUGGGCCUUCGCUGGGCUUGGAGUUCCUUCCUUAUUUUGGAGAUCACCCUGAUCUCUUUCGGGGAAGAACCCCUCUCCCCUUCAUCAAGCCAGGAACUGUCCAUUGAGUUACAAGUGGGAGAGCCACACUUCUUCCUCUGUCACCCAACCACAACAUUGGUCCAGGGAUGGACCCGCGACCCAAAGACAGCCAAGGAACACACAUAAGAUCUGCUAGAGCUGUUAGGAGAGAGGAAUGUUUUCUUUCUCACUGGGCUUAAACCUGGAGUUCACUUGGCAAUGCAAACCUCUUGCCACUGGAAGUGCCAAAUCUGCCUGAGAAUGGCACCAGCAUAGAGGACACAAGACCGAGAGAUGACAUCAAGUGCUAGCGGCUUCUUGCAAGACCCUGAAUCAAGACAUGCUUGAAGAUAGACCUCCUCCUCGACUUUUCAGCUCUGUGGUCAGUAUAUCUCCCAUCUUCUUAUAUGCACUUGGGUUGACUUUUUUUUUUUUUAAACAGAAAACAUUUUUUUUUACAGUGUGGGCCUCGAUCUGGGGUUGGAGCUGAAGAGGGUGAUCCACUACGGUGUGUGGAUGAGGUUAAGGGCACGCUGUCCAUGGGA